rnacentral:rRNA from 1 species
UAGGGAAUCUUCGGCAAUGGACGGAAGUCUGACCGAGCAACGCCGCGUGAGUGAAGAAGGUUUUCGGAUCGUAAAGCUCUGUUGUAAGAGAAGAACGAGUGUGAGAGUGGAAAGUUCACACUGUGACGGUAUCUUACCAGAAAGGGACGGCUAACUACGUGCCAGCAGCCGCGGUAAUACGUAGGUCCCGAGCGUUAUCCGGAUUUAUUGGGCGUAAAGCGAGCGCAGGCGGUUAGAUAAGUCUGAAGUUAAAGGCUGUGGCUUAACCAUAGUACGCUUUGGAAACUGUUUAACUUGAGUGCAGAAGGGGAGAGUGGAAUUCCAUGUGUAGCGGUGAAAUGCGUAGAUAUAUGGAGGAACACCGGUGGCGAAAGCGGCUCUCUGGUCUGUAACUGACGCUGAGGCUCGAAAGCGUGGGGAGCAAACAGGAUUAGAUACCCUGGUAGUCCACGCCGUAACGAUGAGUGCUAGGUGUUGGGUCCUUUCCGGGACUCAGUGCCGCAGCUAACGCAUUAAGCACUCCGCCUGGGGAGUACGACCGCAAGGUU